rnacentral:pre_miRNA from 1 species
NNUAUGGGUACGCUUGAAAAAUGUCUAUUGUCAUUGGAUUAUUUUUUUUACCCGUUGCAACGCACGGGCAUUUUUGCUAGUUAUUAUAAGAUGAUAAAACAUGAAUAGUACUUUAUAUGUGACUUAUGUUUUUAUUUUUUUAAAAAAAAUUAAAUAAGACGGACGGUUAAAAUUGUGCACGGAAAAUCAUGGCUGCACUUGGA